UACGUAGGGUGCGAGCGUUAAUCGGAAUUACUGGGCGUAAAGCGUGCGCAGGCGGUCUGUUAAGACCGAUGUGAAAUCCCCGGGCUUAACCUGGGAACUGCAUUGGUGACUGGCAGGCUUUGAGUGUGGCAGAGGGGGGUAGAAUUCCACGUGUAGCAGUGAAGUGCGUAGAGAUGUGGAGGAAUACCGAUGGCGAAGGCAGCCCCCUGGGCCAACACUGACGCUCAUGCACGAAAGCGUGGGGAGCAAACAGG
rnacentral:rRNA from 1 species